CUUCUCAUAUUCUCUUCAGCAGCAGUCUUGUUCUGUCAUUUAAACAAGGAGAUAAAUCUACUCAUUAAAUCUCUGUAGAUCUUAUCAUCUAAAAAUUAGAACAUGAUUGUAGUCUGGCCCUUCAAAUUCCAUGAUUCAAUAACUGUCUAGAUAAAAAUGCGUCACUAUACUUGCUACUAGAAUUUAUCCACUGUAAUUACUUUAUCGGUCUCCUGAUGAAUUUCUGCUGCAAGGGUUAAAGCUCCUGAAAUGCUCUUAGACCUUGAUACAGGUGAAGCAUCCUAAAUUAUCAUUCAGAAAAAUCUUGAUAGGCAUUAAUACUAUAUGUGAAAACUUGAAUGGACAUAAUAUUGAUAAGGGGGAAAUUGCAUCGAGGUAGAAUUUACUAUGAAACAUGUUGGUAAAUCAGUUCCUAUUCUAUGAAUUAAUUAUACACCAGUUUUUCCUUUUUUCUAUGACUUAGCUACUGCAUUUCUUUGAAUCUAUAAAGCCGCAGAACGUUAGUUGUGACAUUAUUUUAUGAACCACCAAGAAAGAAAAAAAAUAUUUCCAGUAAAGCAGUGACAUACAAUCAAUUGUAAAUGAAUCUCAAAGUUGGAGUAUCAAAAUGUUAAAAAAAAAAAAAUCUCCAUCUUGGAACCAAUGAAAUAUAGUAGGUUAAGAGUUUUGACUAAGGGCCGGCCCCGUGGCCGAGUGGUUAAGUUUGCGCACUCAGCUUCGGUGGCCCAGGGUUUCGAGGGUUUGAUCCUGGGCGCGGACAUGGCACUGCUCAUCAGGCCAUGUUGAGGCAGCAUCCCACAUGCCACAACUAGAAGGACCCACAACUGAAAAAAAAAAACAACUAUAUACUGGGGGAAUUUGGGGAGAAAAAGCAGAAAAAAAGAAAAGAUUGGCAACAGUUAGUUCAGGUGCCAAUCUUUAAAAAAAAAGUUUUGACUAAAUUGGUUCGUACAGUUAGUCAAUACAAUCACUUUAUUCAGUUGUCUUUUUGAGAGAAUUAACUAGCAGAAAACAAUAACAAUUUACUUAAAACGUUAGUAUACAAUUAUAUAGACAAACAACUCAAUUAUCUUCCUUGUGUAGAAGAAGACAAAUACUAUUUGUGGAUUUACUCUUGAUUUUAAAUGGGAAUGCACUUCAAGAAAGUCUUCACCUGAUUACAUAAGCUACAAAUUUAGGGCAUUAAAAAAAACUGUCAGAAGAAGACUCUAGAAGACUAGGAUCUUAAAAUUAUUUAGUAAAUAUCCAAAUAUUUUCCCACAGAUCUCAUAUUGUCAGACACCCUUUAGACAUUCAAGGAAGUGUAAUGUUAGGUUAUAAAAGUAUAACAUUAUGCAUUUAUUGCAUGGUAUAAUAAAAAGAGCAUUGUGAUUAUUACUAUUACUGUUUUUGAUUAUAAUUCUUAUUAUUUCUCUCAUAUCUCCUUUCAAGGAGAUGGAAUAGGAAUAGCUGGUAAGAAGGGCAAGUAUGAAUGCCACCACUGAACCUUCCAUCAUCUAUGACACUCUCUCUGACUGUUCAUCUUGCCUCAUCCCACCCUCAAAAUCUCAGGCUUGGCAUUAGACCCUUUCACAACACAGUGCUUCAGGUAGCCAACAUCAGUAGAUCAGACUUGGUCCCAUGAUGUACAGCUAUUUCACACUCCUGAGAUAGGGCAAUUUUUCCCAAAGAUAGGAUAAAAAUUCCUUAUGCGCAGCUACCACUUUCUGCUAGCAUAGCAGCUAGUUGAAAAUAACGCAACCAAACAGACUUGCAGCUACAAAUUCAAGCCUUGAACAUUACCCAGAAAUUCUUGGGCUUGGGUGACAAUCAAUUCUUC
ensembl:lncRNA